rnacentral:rRNA from 1 species
UACAGAGGUCUCAAGCGUUGUUCGGAUUCAUUGGGCGUAAAGGGUGCGUAGGCGGAUCUUUAAGUCAGUGGUGAAAGCCUGCAGCUUAACUGUAGAACAGCCAUUGAAACUGAAGAUCUUGAAUAUGGUUAAAGUAGGCGGAAUGUAUCAUGUAGCGGUGAAAUGCUUAGAUAUGAUGCAGAACACCGAUAGCGAAGGCAGCUUGCUGAACCAUUAUUGACGCUGAGGCACGAAAGCGUGGGGAGCGAACAGG